GAAGGAACUUACUUGGGAAGAAAUGAGCAGCCUGUCCUGAAGGCUGAUUUUUCUCCCCUAGUCUUCAUUGUUCUCACCUGUCGUUUUCUCCCAGCCUGCAGGGUAAUGUCUGUCCUACUUGAUCCCUGAGUGUUAGCUAGGCAAGGCCAUACUGUGAUGCAACACUCAACCCCACCAUUUCAUUAAAGGUCAGCCAGCUUCACUUCCAUUCUGACUGUUACGGUGUGAUUCUUCCUGCCAAAUAUUCAUAGCUUAUAAUGUAUUAAAAUGUUACCUCUUGGCCAGCCAUGGUGGCUCACGUCUGUAAUCCCAGCACUUUGGGAGGCUGAGGCAGGAGGAUCGCUUGAGCUCAGGAGUUUGAGACCAGCCUGGGCAACAUGGCGAGACCCCAUCUCUACUAAAAAUACAAACAUCAGCCAGAUGUGGUGGCGUAUGCCUGUAGUCCCAGCAACUCGGGAGGCUGAGGUGCUGAGGUGGGAGGAUUGCUUGAGCCCAGCAGGCCAAGGCUGCAGUGUGCUGUGAUUGUGCCACUACUUUCCAGCCUGGAUGAUAGAGCUGGACCCUGUCUGCAGACCCUUGUCUGUCUUCAUGCUGCUCCCUGGCCCUGGAAGCAGCACCGCUGCCCCUCUUCUCCACUCCCUUCUCCUGGUUCCAUGCCCUCCUCCUCCCCCACUCUCUCACUCCUCCACCAGCUGCUGCCCUCUGGGGCCGGGCUCUCUUUUUCUGGUUCCUUCUGCCUGCUGCCGGGCUCUGGCAGGCACAGUGACGCCGGGCAGUGUCUCCUCCGUUGAAUUCAAUUUCUUGAGGACGUACCUAGUCACACAGCUGUGGAUAGCAUGGAUACCACCGUAGGUCUUGGCCCAGACCUUUACCCUGCACACCCAGCAAAUAUCCCUCGGCUGCCUCUUGCAGUGUCUCUGUGCAUUGACCUUCCCACCGGUGAUCCCCAGCUCUGCCUCUUCUGUCCUGGCUGGUGCUGGCCACCCGGGAAUCUCAUCAUGCUUGGGUCUGUCCUCCACCACCCACCCCCUGCUGCUUCUCAUCACUGCAACGCACAGUUCCUGGUACGGGCCUCGUAUCCAGCGUGCACUCAGGAGAUGUAUCUGGAGUGAGUGACUUUGAUUUCUUUUAGGGCUAUAAAUUCUACAAAAUUCAGAGAUGAUUUUGUAAUGAAAAGUGCUGUUGUAUCAUAAUUCUGAUUAUUUAUAA
rnacentral:lncRNA from 1 species